rnacentral:rRNA from 1 species
UACGAAGGGGGCUAGCGUUGUUCGGAAUCACUGGGCGUAAAGCGUAUGCAGGCGGACCGUUAAGUCGGGGGUGAAAUCCCAGGGCUCAACCCUGGAACUGCCUUCGAUACUGGCGGCCUUCGAGUCCGGGAGAGGUGAGUGGAACUCCGAGUGUAGAGGUGAAAUUCGUAGAUAUUCGGAAGAACACCAGUGGCGAAGGCGGCUCACUGGCCCGGUACUGACGCUGAGGUGCGAAAGCGUGGGGAGCAAACAGG